UGACGAGCAAACGAAAGGACGUAUGACGAUCCUUCUUAAAAGUUUUUGUCGAAUUUUUAAAUACAUUGUAAUUCAUUUAUUAUUUCUUACAUUACGAGGCUACAAGGUUAAAGAGAAUGCUUGGCAAUCGUGAGGAUAAACGUUCUAUUAGAAUUUGGAGAAGGAAAGUAUUCUUUCGUCGGAGAACCCUGUUAACGAACGUAAUCCGUUCUUUGACGCAGCAGUUACGAUGACGCAGUUACGAUCGAUUUUGCAAUUUGAAAGCUUUCAAACUGACACUGAAAAAAAUACUGAUUUAUGUAAGCCGAAUAAAGUCAAGAAUUAUGUUCAUCAAUAG